UACGUAGGGGCCGAGCGUUGUCCGGAGUUAUUGGGCGUAAAGCGCGCGCAGGCGGCCUCGCGCGCCCGACGUGAAAGCCCCCGGCUUAACCGGGGAGGGUCGUUGGGGACGGCGGGGCUUGAGGGCGGUAGGGACCGGUGGAAUGCCUGGUGUAGUGGUGAAAUGCGUAGAGAUCAGGCAGAACACCUGGGGCGAAGGCGGCCGGCUGGGCCGACCCUGACGCUGAGGCGCGAAGGCGUGGGGAGCGAACGGG
rnacentral:rRNA from 1 species